UAAGUCUUGCUGGAGAAGCAGGGCACGUGCAACAUCUCUCAAGCCAUGCUUGCUCUGUGAUUCUGCACGUGCUCUCCUUUUCCAGCUUGAUUUU
rnacentral:pre_miRNA from 2 species